rnacentral:rRNA from 1 species
GACGAACGCUGGCGGCGUGCUUAACACAUGCAAGUCGAGCGGAAAGGCCCUGCUUGCAGGGUGCUCGCGUGGCGAACGGGUGGGUAACACAUGGGUGAUCUACCCCUUACUAUGGGAUAAGCCUCUGCAACUGGGUCUAAUACUUGAUAGGACAAUGCUGUAGGUGGUGUGGUGGAUAGUUUAAUUUCGGUAAGAGAUGAGCUCGCGGCCUAUCAGCUUGUUGGUGGGGUAAUGGCCUACCAAGGCGUCGACGGGUAGCCGGCCUGAGAGGGUGGACGGCCACAUUGGGACUGAGACACGGGCCAGAAUCCUACGGGAGGCAGCAGUGGGGAAUAUUGCACAAGGGGCGCAAGCCUGAUGCAGCGACGCCGUGUGGGGGAUGACGGCCUUCGGGUUGUAAACUCCUUUCAGCCAUGACGAAGCCCUUGUGGUGACGGUAGUGGUAGAAGAAGCACCGGCUAACUACGUG